rnacentral:rRNA from 1 species
UACGGGGGGGGCAAGCGUUGUUCGGAAUUACUGGGCGUAAAGGGCUCGUAGGCGGCCAACUAAGUCAGACGUGAAAUCCCUCGGCUUAACCGGGGAACUGCGUCUGAUACUGGAUGGCUAGAGGUUGGGAGAGGGAUGCGGAAUUCCAGGUGUAGCGGUGAAAUGCGUAGAUAUCUGGAGGAACACCGGUGGCGAAGGCGGCAUCCUGGACCAAUUCUGACGCUGAUGAGCGAAAGCAUGGGGAGCGAACAGG